GUGUUUGGUGGAAUACAGCAAAGUGAUUAACUUUUUAUUCCUGCCUCUUUAAGGCCUAGGUUCUCCUUAGACAAACUCCAUAGAUUUUCAUUUUCUCUCUUUGGCGGGUAUCUUGUCUAGAAAACUACCUGACCUAAAUGUAACAGCUAAGGAGUAAUCUAUGCCACUUGAAUACCUAUGGACAGUAUUCCCAAUCUUACUUUGUAACAUGCAUUCCCAUGCAGAAAUGCAGAGGUACUAGCUUCAGUGAUAUCUGUGCUGUAUGAUGACUGAUCAAGCAAAUUACACCUUUUUUUUUUCACUGUCUUUUUAAAUGAUGGCUGUUUACAUUUAUAUCAUGCUGUCUAAUUUUGUGCCUUUUCUGAGAAAUUAGUUGAAAGCUGAAAACAGUGGUAACAGGUAACCCAUAGAGGGGAAAGGGUUUUCUGUUUAAAAACAGGCAACAUGAAUGCUAAUUUUGACCCUAAAGUAUGUUUCUGGCAAAGCAAAUUAGCUCAAAUGCUGUUUUGUCUUUCUUUAGUAGGAGUACUUAGACAUCUUAAUCCCAUCCUUCAUACUGUCAAACAAUGUCUGGAAGAAGCCUAAUAAACAUGGAAAUACUUCAAAUGUUUUUUGUUUUUUUUUAAUAACAGUGUUAAUUUUGGGCCAACUCUAGGGCAGAUUCUAUUGUGAAGAAAUCAUCAGCAUAAAUAGUGACUUUUAAAAUUAUUUUUUAAUAUGUGCUCUACCUAUACCAUUCCCCUGUCAACUCUAUCGGAGGUUCAUAAUAAAAAGAUGGCUGAUUACUGCUGAAUUUCUGAGAGGAAAAUCACCAGUUUCACAGGGCUGUAUUUCCAUGAUUUAAGUUGGCAUUUUGCACUUAAGUCUUCGUGGCAGCUAUCUUUUCCUCACCACCCUAUCUUCUAAACUCUGAGGAGCUGAAAGUCCCAUGCAAACUGAGCUGAGGCUGCCCAGCUGUGCAGAAGUGGUUAUGUGGGUGAUGUGGGAUCUGCUCUCUGCCUCCAGGUGGUCGUGGUAUGAAGCUGCAGUCAGGAGAAGCAUGCCUUGGAUGGCUCUGAGCAAUGUACCAUCGCAUCUGCUUCAAGGCUUGCAGAUGCAGCAGGCUGGUGGACUGACGAGCUGCAUCCAGCCUGUGUCCUUCGGGAGCUGAAGAGAAUGUAUGCACCAUGAUUUUUGUGAUGAAAUAGAGCAGGUAACAAAUCAUUAGUUACAUUUUUACACUCUCAGUUACCGUGAUAAAAUAGUUUUAAGAACCUCUCAAGCAUGCUCUCGUGUGUGGGUUUUAGUUUCUUCUUCUGGUUUUCGGUGUUUGCAUACAGCACAAGGAAUACUAUAUGGUUUUUUUCCAUGUGUGGUUGGGGUCCUAGUCACCUCAGUUCUGGCAUGAUACAAGUGUAAUUGAACAAACAAACCCCUCCUACCUUGAGAUUGGUUUAGUAUAGUUUCUUCAGGGACAGUGCAGUGGUGCACAAUGCACUGUGCAUCAUUGCAGGAGUCAUGACAGAGAAUUCCAUUUAAAACAUCACAACACCUUGCAUUAUGAGCUGUUGUUGCUACCACCUGCUUCCUACAUGCACAGACUCAGUGAAUUUGGAUGUACAGCUGAUAGAAAAUGCUUAAUCUCAAAAAUCUUUUAUUGCUGAGCAAGAUGCCAAUAUGGUAUGGGGUAGCAAUAACUAAAACAUCCCUGCGUUAUCAGCACUGUUUCCUGCACAGAUCCAAAACCUAGCCCUAUUCUGGCUACUAUGAAGAAAAUUAACUCUACAUGAGCCAAAACCAGCACAGUCCUAUUUUUUAACUGUUCUAUCAUCCUCAUUGCCCUUCUCUGGACUCUUCCAAACAAUCCAUAAAAAUCUGUAACUGCAGGGGCUAUAAAUGAGCAUGUUACUCCAGCUCAGGCUUUCUCCUUCUGAAGAUGGAAGAGUGCUUUCUUAGGGUGAAGAAGUGCACUGACUAGGAAAAAAAAGAAAGAGUGUGUGAAGAUACUGUAAGACCUGGCUAUUUUCAAUUAUCUCCUAUGAAAGUCUUGGUCACCAGAUGCUAAUGUUAAAUCACCAGUUGUAAGCAUAGCUGUCACCUCACUCAAGCCUUAUUUGUGUAGCUACAAGCACCCUUCAUAAGCUUCCUUUUGCCUUGCUGUCAUCUUAAUGUGAUGUUCUAUACAUUACAUUACUUUUUUUGGAAAUGCGUGCAAAGGCUAGAUUCAUAAAACUGUUUUGGCUAUAUUAGGAUCCAAUGAGAUUGCUUUACCUUCUCUUGUACAGAAAUAGUCCAGAGAUUGACUAGUUCAUCUUGUAGUAGCCUCCCAUGUCACAGAAGUCUCCUGGAACUGUAAGGGAACAGACACCAGUGGAAACGCCAAGCAACUGCAGUGCCCAUAGCAGUACGUGGCUUCUUAAGAUGUGCCAUGUGUACUGUUCCCUUCAGCACUAUAAGUAUCACCAUUUAUUCUAGAAGUUACUGGUGACUCUCUUUUACCAGAUAGUCCUAUCUCUUGGGCCUCUGUACCCUAUUAAGCAGGUCAGACAUUCCAGUCACUGGUGUUUGCUCGAGUUUCAUCUUUGAGAUGUCAAAUACAGUUUUGCCCCCACCUAAAAAAGAAAUACUGAUCUGAAAUUUUCUGUCUUGGUGCUUUGUGCCGCACUGUUUCAGGACUACCCAAAACUUGAAUCAUAUCUAAAAAUAGAACUUGUGAAGAAUAUACUUUGUAGUGUAUGAAAAUUAUAGUGAGGUUGGUUUUGUGUUGUUUUUGUUUGUUUUGUUGUGUUUCCAGGUGUGAUCUGCUUUCUCUGGAAAAACAUAUAUGGCUUGAGCCUUGGAGAAAAUUAUCUGCUUGAUUUUGGUGGAGGCUGGAACUGAUCUGUGCUGCCUUUUUGCAGUGGGUGAAUCUG